GACGAACGCUGGCGGCGUGCUUAACACAUGCAAGUCGAACGGAAAGGCCCUGCUUUUGUGGGGUGCUCGAGUGGCGAACGGGUGAGUAACACGUGAGUAACCUGCCCUUGACUUUGGGAUAACUUCAGGAAACUGGGGCUAAUACCGGAUAGGAGCUCCUGCUGCAUGGUGGGGGUUGGAAAGUUUCGGCGGUUGGGGAUGGACUCGCGGCUUAUCAGCUUGUUGGUGGGGUAGUGGCUUACCAAGGCUUUGACGGGUAGCCGGCCUGAGAGGGUGACCGGCCACUUUGGGACUGGGGACCGCCCCCGGCCCCUCCGGGGGGGAGGGGGGGGGAAUUUUGCCAAAGGGGGGGAAGCCUGCUGGAGCCACGCGGCGGGCGGGAUGGGGGCCUUCGGGUUGUAAACCGUUUUCGCCUGUGACGAAGGGUGGGUGACGGUAAUGGGUAAAAAAGCACCGGCUAACUACGU
rnacentral:rRNA from 1 species